AGACGUCUACAUUAGAUACCCCGGUAGUCCCAGCCGUAAACUAUGCGCGUUAGGUGUAUCGGUGACCACGAGUUACCGAGGUGCCGAAGGGAAACCGUGAAACGUGCCGCCUGGGAAGUACGGUCGCAAGGCUGAAACUUAAAGGAAUUGGCGGGGAGCACCACAACGGGUGGAGCCUGCGGUUUAAUUGGACUCAACGCCGGGAAGCUCACCGGAUAAGACAGCGGAAUGAUUGCCGGGCUGAAGACUCUGCAUGACUAGCUG
rnacentral:rRNA from 1 species